rnacentral:rRNA from 1 species
UACGUAGGGGGCGAGCGUUGUCCGGAUUUAUUGGGCGUAAAGAGCGUGUAGGCGGCCAGGUAGGUCCGUUGUGAAAACUCGAGGCUCAACCUCGAGACGUCGAUGGAAACCAUCUGGCUAGAGUCCGGAAGAGGAGAGUGGAAUUCCUGGUGUAGCGGUGAAAUGCGCAGAUAUCAGGAAGAACACCAAUGCGAAGGCAGCUCUCUGGGACGGUACUGACGCUGAGACGCGAAAGCGUGGGGAGCGAACAGG